UCAGUCGCUAUUGUAGUUGUCGAUGCGACAAUCGUGCGGGAUUGUCUCCCACGAGAUUUUUACGAAGAAACCCCCGAAAGAAUUAAUAAUUUUAUCUGUAAAAUCAAGAUUCACUUUGUGACGCGAAUAGUGUGUUUAUAACAGUACACGGCACGUUGGAGUGGCGAGUAGUUAAAGCAAGGAGGAGAGUCAACUCCGAGGUAACUGCCGAUAGGUUACGAGAAGAAACACAGGACGAUGGUCAGCGAUAAAUAAUCUACAAGAAAAGAUCGCAGAAUUAAUUAUCGCGGGCGGAAAGGAGAAGUGUGACGGCGGAUCCUCUGCCAAAGUUCGCCUAUGACGAGGAGCCGCUUGCGAGAUCGCGAGGAGCGUAUUUUUAUCUUCCAUCUUCGGCCAGAAUUUCGACGUGGCGGAGAGAAAAGUGGGUAAAAUUCGACGGCGUCGACGCGACGGCUGCGCGUACAAUUUUCACGGCGCUCACUGGCGCGCGCGACUGCGAGGAUUGCGUGGAAAGGGCGGAACUGCGUGCGACUCGCUGGCAGGUAGUGGUGUCCACACGAGUGUCGGCGUCGGUGCCGAGAUCAACGACAUACGCGCGUACCCCGAGGGCGAAGCAGCGGAGUGCUGAACCGACAAGCCAGGGCCGAAAGGAUGGGAAUGCAGUUAACGCUACGUCAUGUGUUUCCAGGUAUGUCAUAUCGUUUGUCAGGUGAAAUGUUUCCGAUUUUGCUUACUCUGACGAUUCGAUUUGAAAUUUAGAAUUUGUCCUAAAACCGUCGUUCGUAAUUUAAUAAAUAAUCACGACUUUAUGAAUCUGUUGGAUUAGUCGUUAACCUAUAUAUUCUUUUUACACAAGAGAUGACGACUCAAACAGCCGAAAACGGUCCACGAAUACGAAUCUAUAAUUAAAACGUUGACUACCGUGCUGAUUUUCACAGAUUAUUUUACGACUCAAUUAUAAUAUUGCCCGUACACUAAGAAAAAAUAAAUUACACUUUACUGAAAAAAUUUAUUUCUGUGAAAUAAAAUUUGUUUCCGUAAAAAUAAA